rnacentral:snRNA from 1 species
AGAUAUGAAGGCAAUUUAGCUACAACAUCUGUCACCCCUAAAUAAACCCUGAUUGCCAGGGUUUAUUCAGCUGAUCUGGGUAGCUAUGCAGGUAUCCCUUUCCUCCCUCACCACUCUAUAUGCAUUCCUCCCAAAGCUGCAUGCUUGGUCAAAGAGGACAACUCUCCUGAUAGAGGAGAACUGUCCAUCAGUCAAGGGUAUAUGAGAAGCAGAGCUCCCUUGCUAGAACGUCCAAACAAGCUCUCAAGGUCCACAAAUAUUCUAACCUUGAGCCAUUUCUAUUACCAUACAAAGGAGAUGAUCACUUGUACCCAAAGUCUUGUCCAUGGUGAACAUUUUCUCCAU